rnacentral:rRNA from 1 species
UAUUGCGCAAUGGGCGAAAGCCUGACGCAGCGACGCCGCGUGAGGGAUGACGGCCUUCGGGUUGUAAACCUCUUUCAGCAGGGAAGAAGCGAAAGUGACGGUACCUGCAGAAGAAGCGCCGGCUAACUAC